CUCAUAGAGAGUUCGAUCUUGGCUUACGAUGAACGCUGGCGGUAUGCUUAACAUAUCAAGUCGGAUGAGAAACACGGGAAACGGUGUUUCCAGUGGCGGAUGGGUGAGUAACGCAUAAGAACCUUCCCUUGGGAUGGGAGCAAUAGCUGGAAAUGGCUACUAAUACCCCGUAGGAUGAGGAGCAAAAGGAGGAAUCCGCCCAAGGAGGAGCUUGCGUCUGAUUAUCUAGUUGGUGAGGCAAUAGAUUACCAAGGUGAUGAUCAGUAGCUGGUCCGAGAGGAUGAUCAGCCACAGUGGGACUGAGACAUGGCCCAGACUCCUAUGAGAGGUAGCACUGGGGAAUUUUCUGCAAUGAGUGAAAGCCUAAUGAAGCAAUGCUGCAUGGAGGUAGAAGGCCCACGGGACGUGGACUUCUUUUCUCAUAGAAGAAGCAAUGACGGUAUCUGAGGAAUAAGCAUCGGCUAACUCUGUGCCAGUAGCCACGGUAAUACAGAGAAUGCAAGCGUUAUCCAGAAUGAUUGGGCAUAAAGCGUCUGUAGGUGGCUUUUUAAGCUCGCCGUCAAAUCCUAGGGCUCAACCCUGGACAGACGGUGGAAACUACCAAGCUGGAGUAUAGUAGGGGCAGAGGGAAUUUCUGGUGGAGCGGUGAAAUGUGUAGAGAUCGAAAAGAACACCAACAACAAAAGAACUCUGCUGGGCCGACACUGACAUUGAGAGACGAAAGCUAGGGGAGCAAAUAGGAUUAGCUACCCCAGUAGUCCUAGCCGUAAAUGAUGGAUACUAGGCGCUGUGCAUAUUGAUCCGUGAAGUGCUGUAUCUAACGCAUUAAGUAUCCCACCUGGGGAGUAUGUUCGCAAGAAUGAAACUCAAAGGAAUGAUGGGGGCCCUCACAAGUGGUGGAUCAUGUGGUUUAAUUCAAUGCAAAGCAAAGAACCUUACUAGAGAUUGACAUGCCGCAAAUCCUCUUAAAAGAGAGGGGUGCCUUUGGGAAUGCGAACACAGGUGGUGCAUGGCUAUUGUCAGCUCAUGCCAUAAGGUGUUGGGUUAAGUCCCGCAAUGAGCAUAACCCUCAUAUUUAGUUACCAUCGCUGAGGUUAGAACCCUGAACAGACUGCCGGUGAUAAGCUGGAGGAAGUUGAGGAUGACGUCAAGUCAUCAUGCCCAUUAUGCCCUGGGUGACGCACCUGCUACUAUGGCUGGGACAAAGGGUCGCGAUCACGCGUAGGUGAGCUAACCCCAAAAACCCAUCCUCAGUUUGGAUUACAGGUUACAACUCGCCUGUAUGAAGCCCGAAUCGCUAGUAAUCGCCAGUCAGCCAUACGGUGGUGAAUUCAUUCCCGGGCCUUGUACACACCGCCCGUCACACUAUAGGAGCUGGCCAUGCCAGAAGUCAUUACCUUAACUGCAAGGAGGGGGAUGCCGAAGGCAGGGCUAGUGACUAGAGUGAAGUCAUAACAAGGUAUCCGUACUGGAAGGUGUGGCUGGAUCACCUCCUUU
rfam:Capsicum annuum cultivar Zunla-1 unplaced genomic scaffold scaffold669, whole genome shotgun sequence